UACGUAGGUGGCAAGCGUUGUCCGGAUUUACUGGGCGUAAAGCGUGCGCAGGCGGUUCGCCAAGUCAGGUGUGAAAUCCCCGGGCUUAACCUGGGAAUUGCGCUUGAAACUAGCGGGCUUGAGUGUGGCAGAGGGGGGUGGAAUUCCACGUGUAGCAGUGAAAUGCGUAGAGAUGUGGAGGAACACCGAUGGCGAAGGCAGCCCCCUGGGUCAACACUGACGCUCAUGCACGAAAGCGUGGGGAGCAAACAGG
rnacentral:rRNA from 1 species